UCUGUCAGCCAGCCGCAGUCGCAGUUCGCAGCCGCAGUCCGCUGUUCGCAGUCCGCUCGCCAUUUUGGCCCGUUCAAAAUAUUCGUAAGGCCGCUGGCAUUCGCAGUCGCAGUCGCAUGCUGAGAGGAAAUAGGCGCGCUACAGAUUUCGAUUACGAUUUUCUUUCUGUUUCUGGUUCGGAUUCUUAGAGAAGAGGUCCCAGAACAAAAAAAAAAGAGAGAGGGGGUAGAUGGUAACAACAGCAGUCAGCAGCAGCAGCAGCAGCAGCAGCGGCGAAUUAAUGAUUAUAGCUGGAGAUUACAAGCGCAUUGAUUGCGGCCAACGUUCCAGGAGGCAAAACAUCGAAUAACAAUAUCUGAAUUAGUGGAAGCAGAGCUAAAAAACCAACCACUUGGCCGAAACAAACUAAAAAUAAUUUGAAGCCCAAGAAAUGUUAAAAAUAAAACCAAAAGAAAUCAACGAAUUUUUUUCGGCGGCAACACAAGGCGGCGGCAGCCGUGGCGGCAAAAAAAUAUGAACAGAAUUAAAAGGCAGCCGCUUGGAGCUAGAAAAAAACCCAAUCAGCGAGGAGGAGCAGCAGCAGAAGCAGCAAAAGCGAAUUUUUUACACAAAAAAAUAGAAGCCGCACCGCAGCAGUAAAUAGCCAGAAAUUGUCGCUGUCGUCGACGUCGUCGUCGUCGUCGUCCAGCCGAGGUAGCCAUAGCCUCCAUCAGCAGAGCAGCGGAAAAGCUGCGGAAAAUCAACGGAAAAGCGAGGCCAUCAAGAGCGUGUGGGCGGCGUUGGCUGGCAAGGACAGCCGUUGGUCGUUGACGUUGGCAGCGCCUGAAAACUGAAAACUGAGGAGGGAGAAGAGGCCGAGGCUGAAACUGAGGCAGCGGUAGCGGCGACGUUGUCGUGGCCACACGGUCGUCCACGGGCCACUUUCGCGAAUCAAUUUCCGUUGCGGUGGCCGUUUCAGUUUUGGUUUCAACGUCGCCGGCGCUACGCGUGUCGUGAAUUCCCAAUGGCGGUCCUCCUCCCACUGGGUGUUUCAAUUUAGAAGUGC